rnacentral:misc_RNA from 1 species
UCCGUCUUUCCACCGGCAGUGGGUGCCAGGAUGACGGCGUUCUUGCCCGCCCCUACGGCAUCGAUAGUGAGCUCCUGAACAUCGCGAAGGCUCGACCAUUUCAGCACGGAGGCGAUCCCGUGCUGCAGCCUGCUAGAGAG